rnacentral:lncRNA from 1 species
CAACAGACGUGAGGCGGAGCUGGAAUUGGAAUCCAUGACCUUCUGACUCCCAGGCCUGCGCUCUAUCCACUACGCCCUGCCGCUUCUCUGCGAUGCCAUGUUGCUUCCUCUCAGACCCGCUCUGGGAUGGAGUUGGGAUGGAGAGGGACUGUGCCCGUUGGCUGACCGGUACUUUGCAAAGACAAAUAUGUCAAUACUUACUAUCAACAGACUGAUUGAAAUAUAAACCCCUGGGAAGGAAGAUUGCAAUGGAAAUCAAAGGAAUGUCAGAAAGAAAACGCAGCAGCAUGGCUUAGUUUAUGGAGCAUUGGCCUGAGAGACAGAAGAACUUGGGUUCUAAUCCCAGCUCCACUACUCAUCUACUGGGUGACCUGG